rnacentral:rRNA from 1 species
UACGUAGGGGGCAAGCGUUGUCCGGAUUUAUUGGGCGUAAAGAGCGUGUAGGCGGCCUGAAAGGUCAGCUGUGAAAACUCGAGGCUCAACCUCGAGACGUCGGUUGAAACCAUCUGGCUAGAGUCCGGAAGAGGAGUGUGGAAUUCCCGGUGUAGCGGUGAAAUGCGCAGAUAUCGGGAAGAACACCCGUGGCGAAGGCGGCCUUCUGGACCAAUACUGACGCUCAUGCACGAAAGCGUGGGGAGC